rnacentral:rRNA from 1 species
UACGGAAGGCAGCAGUGGGGAAUAUUGCACAAUGGGCGCAAGCCUGAUGCAGCCAUGCCGCGUGUAUGAAGAAGGCCUUCGGGUUGUAAAGUACUUUCAGCGGGGAGGAAGGCGAUGCGGUUAAUAACCGCGUCGAUUGACGUUACCCGCAGAAGAAGCACCGGCUAACUCCGUGCCAGCAGCCGCGGUAAUACGGAGGGUGCAAGCGUUAAUCGGAAUUACUGGGCGUAAAGCGCACGCAGGCGGUCUGUUAAGUCAGAUGUGAAAUCCCCCGGGCUUAAACCUGGGAACUGCAUUUUGAAACUGGCAGGCUUGAGUCUUGUAGAGGGGGUUAGAAAUUCCAGGUGUAGCGGUGAAAUGCGUAGAGAUCUGGAGGAAUACCGGUGGCGAAGGCGGCCCCUGGACAAAGCUGACGCUCAGGUGCGAAAGCGUGGGGAGCAAACAGGAUUAGAUACC